rnacentral:rRNA from 1 species
UACGUAGGGGCUAGCGUUAUCCGGAAUUACUGGGCGUAAAGGGUGCGUAGGUGGUUUCUUAAGUCAGAGGUGAAAGGCUACGGCUCAACCGUAGUAAGCCUUUGAAACUGGGAAACUUGAGUGCAGGAGAGGAGAGUGGAAUUCCUAGUGUAGCGGUGAAAUUCGUAGAUAUCGGGAGGAACACCAGUGGCGAAGGAGGUUUCCUGGCCUGAUACUGACGCUGAGGCGCGAAAGUGUGGGGAGCAAACAGGAUUAGAUACCCCUGUAGUCCCUGAGCGGGCUGG